CUCCCAUCAUUCGCCGCAGCCUGGCGCAACCCUCGGUGGCGGCGCUCUCUCUUCUCAGGGCCCUAUGCAGGCCCCGCCCCGGCUCAGCUCUUGCAGGUUCUCGCGAGGUUUGAGGCCGCGGGGCCGGCCCGGGCGGCUGCAAUAUGGCGGAGGCGGAAGGGGAGAGCCUGGAGUCCUGGCUGAAUAAAGCCACCAAUCCUUCCAACCGCCAGGAGGACUGGGAGUACAUAAUUGGCUUUUGUGAUCAAAUCAACAAAGAGCUUGAAGGGCCACAGAUCGCCGUCCGACUGCUGGCGCAUAAGAUCCAGUCUCCGCAGGAAUGGGAGGCGGUCCAGGCCCUGACGGUGCUGGAGGCCUGCAUGAAGAACUGCGGCAGGAGAUUCCAUAAUGAAGUGGGCAAGUUCCGGUUUUUGAACGAGUUGAUCAAAGUCGUCUCUCCAAAGUACCUGGGGGACCGGGUGUCUGAGAAGGUGAAGACCAAGGUCAUUGAGCUGCUCUACAGCUGGACGUUGGCCCUGGCAGAGGAAUCAAAGAUCAAGGAUGCCUACCACAUGCUGAAGAGACAGGGCAUCGUGCAGUCUGACCCGCUGCUCCCUGUGGACAGGACGCUGAUCCCCUCUCCACCGCCUCGUCCUAAAAACCCUGUUUUUGACGACGAGGAGAAAUCCAAGCUCUUAGCCAAGUUGUUGAAGAGCAAGAACCCAGACGACCUGCAGGAGGCCAACAAGCUCAUCAAGUCCAUGGUGAAGGAGGAUGAGGCGCGGAUCCAGAAAGUGACCAAGCGCCUGCACACUUUGGAGGAGGUCAGCAACAACGUCAAGCUGCUCAGCGAGAUGCUGCUUCAUUACAGCCAAGAGGAUUCCUCAGAGGCAGAUAAAGAGCUCAUGAAGGAGCUGUUUGACCGGUGUGAGAACAAAAGGCGGGCGUUGUUCAAACUCGCCAGUGAGACGGAAGACAAUGACAAUACUUUGGGGGACAUCCUGCAGGCCAGUGACAACCUUUCCCGGGUCAUCAACUCUUAUAAAACAGUCGUCGAAGGGCAGGUCAUCAACGGUGAGGUGGCCACCUCAGCCCUUCCUGAUUCUGAAGGAAACAACCCUUCCACUCACCAGGCCACACUCAUCGACCUCGCCGAGUCGGAUGCCCCAAGCAGCUCGUCCCCGGCCCCCAUCGCCCCCACCAGCAUCCCUACCCUCCCGCCACCCCCCCAGGCCUCGGCACCUGGGCGCAGCCACUUGUCCAGCCAGGCUGAGGUCCCCCCGGGGCCCAACAGCACGAGCCCGGCCCUCUGCCUGUUGGAUGAGGAGCUGCUCUGCUUAGGCCUCACGGACCCCGCCCCCACUGCUCCUCCCAGGGAGUCUGCGGGAAGCAGCCAGUGGCCCCUGUUCCAGAACCAACAGUCGGACCUGGACUUCUUCAGCUCCAAACCUGGGCCGGGUGUCCGCAGCCCCUCAGACGGGCCUCUCCUCCAGCCCUCAGCAGCCCCCACAGGCAACUCCCAGGCUCCUGGGGCCGCAGCCAGCGUUCCUGCUUCCAGUGCAGGCCCCUUCUUGUUCUCUGCUGGACUGGCCCCAACUGCAGCCCCCAAAGCCGAGCCCACAGCCCCCGGGCACCACGGUUCAGCUUUGGGCAACAGCACCCUGCACCAGCUUGAUGCCCUGGAUCAGCUUCUAGAAGAGGCCAAAAUGACCUCGGGCCUGGUGAAGCCUGGCUCCUCCAGUUUCUUCCCCGGGGCGGCCGCCUCCCCUCUGCUCCCCGCCAGCACCUCAGCUAGGCCUCUCCUCCCCUUCUCCACGGGGCCCGGCAGCCCUCUUUUCCAGCCACCUGCCUUCCAGCCCCAGGGCAGCCCCAUGGAGGGGCCCGAGCUGUCCCUGGCCAGUGUCCACGUCCCCCUGGAAUCUAUCAAGCCUAGCAGUGCCCUUCCUGUGACGGCCUAUGAUAAAAAUGGCUUCCGCAUCCUCUUCCAUUUUGCCAAGGAGUGUCCCCCAGGACGGCCUGAUGUACUGGUGGUGGUCGUGUCCAUGCUGAAUACGGCUCCCUUGCCUAUCAAGAGCAUCGUGCUGCAGGCCGCAGUGCCCAAGUCAAUGAAAGUGAAGCUGCAGCCACCCUCUGGGACAGAACUCUCUCCAUUUAGCCCCAUCCAGCCACCUGCAGCCAUCACCCAGGUCAUGCUGCUGGCCAAUCCACUGAAGGGAUGUCUGCAGCUCCGCAAGCAAGUAACAGGCCGUGUUCCCUUCUCCAUGCCUUCGCUCCGCUGGGACGUGACCUUUCCCAGUGUUCUUCACUGAGCUUCGCAGGACUCAACUUAGAGAGCUUGCCCUGACUUCCAGUCUGACAUGGGGUUCCUCUCUUGAGGGGUCCCACAACAUCUGGCCCAGACUGUAAACAUCGUACAAGAAAAACACCUGUCAUCUCAAAGCUUGAUGUCCAACAAAUGUCAAGUUGCGCUUAAAAGUAAAGAAGUGGGGGUGGGCUGGGCAAGAGGAAAUGACACCUCAGGCUCCCGCCAGCUGACGUUACCUAGACUGCGAGCUGAUGGCUUUGGAAAAGAGCCAGCAAGGUGGGUCUGGGGGACCCCAGAGCCAGGGGAGCCACAACCUGCCCCAGUCUGCACAGCCCCGGGUCUUCCCAAAGGGAUGUGCCAGCCUCAAGGCCGCCAGGCAGUGACCACUGAGGCCGAGAACGAACACCACAGCUUGAGUGACCGAGACCAGGCUGAGCGCCGCAUGAACUAGGCCGUCGAGGUCUCCCUGCAGGGCUGUGCGCCUCUGAACACAGGUUUCAGAUCUUCGCAUACACAGGAUGGAGACCUGAGGGCAGGAUCUACAGAGACCAGGUGAACAAGCUCCCUGUUCGAAGGUGUUGGGGAGGGUCUGCAGUCUGCAUUAGCUCUGCAGUGGCUUCUGUUCUACCAGCCGAGGGAGGACGCUGAGCCGGACAGACCAGUGAAGGCCGGCGGCGGCGGCGGCGGCGACAGCCCUCCCUGAGGAAACAACGGUCAUGCUCCCGAGGACUGUCUGCCCUGCACUCGAGCUGCUACCAUCACUUAGCCCAACUCUGUGUCCUGCUUUUUCGGUGGCUCUGCAGCAACCCCUGCCUCUGCCCAGCCGAGCUCUGGUGGCUGUGGGCCUCCUGAAAGUGGAGAGUGAGGGUCUGUGCGCCACCACCCUCCACGGCCAAGGUCAGGGGCUGGGCCAAAGGGCCGGCAAGAAGAUGGGAUCAGGCAAAUCUUCCACUGGACCUCUUAGUUUCUGAAAGAAGCCCCGAUUCCCUGGGGUUUACGGGCACCAGGAAGCUGCCAUCUUGCUAGGCUCGGAGUGAAGUGCGUGCCAGUUCCGUCUCCUUUUGCCAGACAGCGGGAAUGGGCCUCUGCAACCCACAAGACAGGAAACGCGCCCUCGGAGAGGAUCCGCCUUCUCUCAGCUGUGGGGCCGAUAGGCAAACAGGUGGCCCUUCGGCAGGGGUUCUGUGCUCCGCUUCAGGGGCCCCCGCUGCCCCUCUGGGUCUGCCCUGCAGAAACCUCCCCUCCAGCGCCGUGAGAGAGGAGCGCCCUCACUCCGCUGUCACAGGGUAGCCGUGACCCCAGCUGACAUCACAUUCGCAUCAGCCAGGCCGCCCUGUCCCACCAACGCACUGGCCCAGCUCCAAAGAGACGUGCCCCCUCCCCUCCGGGCCCAGCUUGGGCCUGACCAGCACAACCCAAGAGAAAGCACGUGCCCGCAAGACCCCAAAUCCAGUCUUUCGGCCUCUAACACCCUCCGAAGAGACUUCGGCCCUGCUUCCAACCCGUGGGAUGAGGUCCGGCGAUGCGCUUUUCAGGGCCUCCUUCGAAACGGGCUAGGAGAUGGCUUCCUGCUCAGAUAAGCCCAAGCUCCUAGAUGGAGUGCCAACAGAAGCCUCAGACCCUGUCCUACUUGCCGGGGCAGAGAGGCGCCCAGACUGAGGGGCUACGAGCCGACCCUUCCUCCUUUGGGACUGGCGUUGGAGUGAUGCCGUAACCUGUGGAUUCACAAAAGCCACCCUCUCUGUUGACACUUCUCUAGCUUUUCCUUCUGUUGCCACUGAAAAGAACAAGGUACCUUCCCUUUUUAUUAUUCUUCUCCUCGUUCUGUUCAACUCUGUUUUGUUCCUUAAAAGCCGUAUGUGGCUUAGGAAGGAGGCCCAGGAGGAAAUAACCCACUGCCACUAACAGACAAGAGUCGGGCAAGACUGUUGCUUUAAACUAUAGGCAGAGACACUGACAAAGCGAAAUAAUGACGUGUGUGCCUUUCUAAGUUACUGUCACUACCCGCUCCAGGCAGAUGCCACCCCCACCCCCACUGCCAUCAGCCAAACUCUCGAAGUUGUCUUCAGGCACCAACUAAAGUCUCUGUAAGUCUCUGAAAAGAACACUGACACAAAACCCGUUUUCCUUUCUCCAAAUCUAAGAGCAUUUUCUUGAAGCCCUGGCUCUCUUUUGGCCAAAACAGGAAGAGAUGGCAGCGGGUGGGGAACCCUUCCCAUUGCCCUGAUUUACCAAAAAAAGAUAGGUUCAGUCAAGGUCAAUGAAUUGAUACGUGAGCAAGGCUACCUGCUGCGUUCCUAGCUUUCUUCUGGGCGUCACUGGUGCAACGCCACUCUCCAGACUGCACAAGGGAAGGGCAGCUUCGUCUCCCAGCAUGAUCUGAAAAGAGAGACACGACUCCUUAGCUCUGAGCGAGACUGCCACAUCACCUCCUGAUCUCGGCUGCAGCAGCAGCUUUGAAAGCUCUCUCCUUCCAGACGCAGCCGACAGCCCUGUCCAAGGACCAAGUUCCUGCCGCUGCUGCGCUGGAUGCCGCGGUCCCCAGGGAAAGCCAACUUGGGCCCCGACCUGGACUUGCUUCCCACAGACCUUGCAGAGAGACUCGAGGUGAGGACUGGAGGCGAACGUGCCAUCCUGGAGGUGCCGCUCGCACUCCUCGUGCCAGUGCUGCCACUUCAGCUCCAGCUCGGUCAACGUCUGAGUGUUACCAGGCUACGGCAAGAGACACAGAGCGAGCCCGUCAGCACACGAGCCCUUAUUCUCAUUGCAGGACCCCAUCUCCAGGACCCGGGAGAGCCCAGCCGCUCCCACAUACGCUGAGAACGGGCAUUGUCCUCAUCAGGUCCCCCAGGACGCGGCACAUGCCUGCAGAGGUGGGGCUGGCGUCGGCUUCCUUGGAGAGCAUCUGCCGGGCCUCGUCCAGCCGGCCCUGCAGCACCAGGAUGGUCACCUGGAGGACACCCAAGGACACACAUGUUCACGGCAGGCUCAGAAGCCAGUCCCCUAAGCCCAGACUCUGGCUUUCUAGCCCUGGAGAAGCUCCCGAGGUAAUCGGAUUCAGUGAGUCUCACAGUUUGAACCUGUACUAUGCUUCUCAAACCACACGUGUAACCCACUGAGGUUGUAACUUUUUAAAAAUAAGCACAAUAAAGAUAAAAAAUUCCAAGUG